rnacentral:rRNA from 1 species
CCUUCGGGUGGCAGCAGUGGGGGAUAUUGGACAAUGGGGGGAACCCUGAUCCAGCGACGCCGCGUGAGUGAAGAAGUAUUUCGGUACGUAAAGCUCUGUCAGCAGGGAAGAAAGAAAUGACGAUACCUGACCAAGAAGCCCCGGCUAACUACGUGCCAGCAGCCGCGUUAAUACGUAGGGGGCAAGCGUUAUCCGGAAUUACUGGGUGUAAAGGGAGCGUAGACGGUUAAGUAAGUCUGGAGUGAAAGGCCUGGGCCCAACCCCGGGACUGCUCUGGAAACUGUGUAACUGGAGUACAGGAGGGGCAGGCAGAAUUCCUGGUGUAGCGGUGAAAUGCGUAGAUAUCAGGAGGAACACCGGCGGCGAAGGCGGCCUGCUGGACUGAAACUGACGUUGAGGCUCGAAAGCGUGGGGAGCAAACAGGAUUAGAUACCCUUGUAGUC